rnacentral:rRNA from 1 species
CCUACGGGUGGCAGCAGUGAGGAAUAUUGGUCAAUGGACGAGAGUCUGAACCAGCCAAGUAGCGUGAAGGAUGACUGCCCUAUGGGUUGUAAACUUCUUUUAUAAAGGAAUAAAACGAGGCACGUGUGCCUUUUUGCAUGUACUUUAUGAAUAAGGAUCGGCUAACUCCGUGCCAGCAGCCGCGGUAAUACGGAGGAUCCGAGCGUUAUCCGGAUUUAUUGGGUUUAAAGGGAGCGUAGAUGGGUUGUUAAGUCAGUUGUGAAAGUUUGCGGCUCAACCGUAAAAUUGCAAUUGAUACUGGCAGUCGUGAGUACAGUUGAGGUAGGCGGAAUUCGUGGUGUAGCGGUGAAAUGCUUAGAUAUCACGAAGAACCCCGAUUGCGAAGGCAGCUUACUAAACUGUGACUGACAUUGAUGCUCGAAAGUGUGGGUAUCAAACAGGAUUAGAUACCCCAGAGUC